rnacentral:rRNA from 1 species
GACGAACGCUGGCGGCGUGCCUAAUACAUGCAAGUAGAACGCUGAAGAGAGGAGCUUGCUCUUCUUGGAUGAGUUGCGAACGGGUGAGUAACGCGUAGGUAACCUGCCUUGUAGCGGGGGAUAACUAUUGGAAACGAUAGCUAAUACCGCACAACAAUGGAUGACACAUGUCAUUUAUUUGAAAGGGGCAAUUGCUCCACUACAAGAUGGACCUGCGUUGUAUUAGCUAGUAGGUGAGGUAAUGGCUCACCUAGGCGACGAUACAUAGCCGACCUGAGAGGGUGAUCGGCCACACUGGGACUGAGACACGGCCCAGACUCCUACGGGAGGCAGCAGUAGGGAAUCUUCGGCAAUGGGGGCAACCCUGACCGAGCAACGCCGCGUGAGUGAAGAAGGUUUUCGGAUCGUAAAGCUCUGUUGUAAGUCAAGAACGGGUGUGAGAGUGGAAAGUUCACACUGUGACGGUAGCUUACCAGAAAGGGACGGCUAACUACGU